rfam:Candidatus Sungbacteria bacterium RIFCSPHIGHO2_02_FTLL_47_11 rifcsphigho2_02_scaffold_1241, whole genome shotgun sequence.
GGCCCCAUCGUCUAGGCCGGUCCAGGACGCAUGGUUCUCAUCCAUGAAACUCGGGUUCAAAUCCCGAUGGGGCCG